AUGUUUUCAAAACUAAUGUUGCGUAGGGUGGUGAAAUAAAAUUUAUACAAAUCUUUUCAUAUACAUAUAAAUUAAAUAUGUAUUAGUAAAUAAUGAGUGUUUACCUAUAUAUUUACGACACGCCGUAAGAACACAUAUCGGGUGACUGAGAGGAGUCCGGUAUACUCGUAUAGUAUUACAGCAAGACAAGAUGGCGUAGUGUUUGACACUACCGCGACCUACCGCAAACACGACAAAAACAGACGCUAUCGUGCGUUGCUCUUGGUGUCGAGAUAAGACCAAGACUGAUCUAGGCCAAUACCCUCCCAAUUGUGGCGUUGUCGUUGUCGGAGCUUCUGUCUGUCGCUCUCCACUUUCUGCGUCUCGGUGAUCUCUGAUUUAAUCUUCAUGCGCGUCUGCUCCGCGCACUUCUUGCCUGACCACUCCUGAUACCUAGCGGAGAAGACUCCAACUACAACGAGGGAUGGAAUGAAAGGGUGAACUUUUCUGUUAUCAGCGCGCCCUAGCGUCAGACGCGAGAACUGCUCGUUCCCAGACAUACGGGACCCUUCAUCUCUAUAGGUAUCUCUCUCAAAGACAAAUCAAGUGAUGCCGUUUUCCCACACUCAGGGAUUUCACACUUUACGUGCAGAACUACAUACUUACUACUACUACUACUACAUGGCGACAGUUGUUCACACUUUUAUACGUUUCAUGGCUAAGUAUAAAUGGAACUUUGUACCAGAGUUCUCCAAUCAAAAUUAUGUUCUCUGUUUUUGAAAUUUGGCGAGGUAUCUUAAUUCUCUGUUUUACUCAAAGGUACUCCAAAGUUAUUAGGAUUUUCUAAUAAACAUAAUAAUAAAUUAAUCACUUUAUUCAUCUAUGGCAGAUUAAUUAAUGGCACAGCAUUGUUUUAAAUGUAGUUACCUCAGUACCGUAAUAAAAUCAAUUUGCAGUG